UGUGCGUAAAAUACCCAGAUGUUUAGUGUUUAUUUGACACUGCAUUUUGAUAACACUGUUAAUAUGUAAUUACAAAAAUAUAAUAAUAAUAUAUAUAAUCACAAAAUCAGUUACAUUAGUAACCAAUUAGUUAUAUAUGAAAAUAAAUGGCCAAUUAUAAAUAGGCAUACAUUAAAGCCUUGUUUACACAUGACUAAUUAAUUAACUAUGAAGUCUAGCUAAAAGUCAUUUGGGAAGGUACCUUUUAUGUGCAUGUGCAGUUUACUCAGAAUUUACUCAUAUUUUGGCAAAAAUGAUCUCACUUCCUGUAUUCUGUCUUCACUUUUUUUUUUCUUGAUAUGUUACACGCAGAGAGUUCGAUAUGUGGGGAAAAAAGUUUUAGCCAACAUGGUCUGAGGAUUUUUGAAGCCAAUACGUUCAUGACUUAAAUAUUAGGUUGUAUUCUAUCUGUUGCUCAUGUCAGUAUUUUCCCAUCAGCCACUGCUGCCAGUACGGAAGUCAUAUACGCUGAUAUCUCUCAUGAGAACAAGAGUGAAAAGAAGAAAACAGAAUUACUCCCGGCUGGUGGUGUGGAAUACGCUGCAAUCCAACCGCAGAGGAAGAAGAGGAAAGAGAAGAAGGAAGAGGUUCAGUACGACAGGGUGACGUUCACUGUAAACCACUCAAGCGCUCACACACGGCCUCAGGAGGAGUGUAUUUACUCUCAGGUGCACAGUUGCUAGCUUCACAACAACAGCCAUGUAAAAAUCACACUUUAAUAAGAACUUCUAAAGCAAAUUGAUGUGUUUGUGUUAAAAAAAUCCAUAUUUAAAACUUUAUAAACCCUAAUUCUCACUUUAUGCUUACGCUAGUGUUCCUCAAUAUAUAUAUAUGACGCUUCGCCUACGUCCUACAUCAGGGUUCCUCUAUAUAUAUAUAUAUAUAUAUGUGUGUGUGUGUGUGUGUGUGUGUGUUGUUUAACAAUACAGACUGUGUACAAAGCAGUCUUUACAGUAUACAAAUAGGACAAUAGUGUGUCAGUGACAAACAGACAGUAGUAAACGCUCUAAUUUUCAGUUAAAGCAGCGGUUCUCAAUUCCAGUGCUCGCCGCCCCCCUGCUCUGCACUAUUUUAUAUGUCUCUCUUUGUUAACACACCUGAUUCAGAUAAUCAGCUCAUUAGGUGUGAGCUCCGUGCAUGAACUGUGUUCCCAUUGAGAUGGUCCCUACACAGUGUUCAUUGCUCCCUACUCCCUGAGCAGGGGAAAUCUGUUAAAGUUUACUUACUUCAUUCACAGAUUUGCGCUGCACAAUGUCUGCACACGGACAAGUGUGACAUCAUAUACCUCGGUAAAUAAAUACAAUUUAAAUUCAAAUCUUGCUCACUUCAAUGCACUUUGAAUGGAACAUGUACGUUCGUUUCGAACUGGAAUCAUGGCGGAAUAUCCUGUGAUGUCCACUUUGCAGCGCACUGAAGUUUGAAUAGAACAAAUGUCUGAAGAGAUAAGAGAAACAUACAAAAUGUGCAGAGCAGGGGGACAUAAGGACUGGAAUUGAGAACCACUGAGUUAAAGGCAGAUUAUCAUUGAAUUCAGUGACGUCAUCGUCCACCAGAAGGUUGAUCCAUGUUGCAGCAAAGUUAAAUUAUGUAGAGGGCUCAUCUGGUUCCCGUGGUCUUGUCCUGAUGUCUUCAAGACAAGGUCUUCACUAGGGUUGGGUAUCGAUUGGGUUUUUUACGAUACCGGUGCCAUAUCGAUACUUUUAAAACAGUACCGGUGCCUAAACGGUGCCUGAACUGAUACUUAACAAAAAAAAAAAAAAAAGAACCAACAAAAACAAUAAAAAGGCUAAUAAAUGUAUUUCACGAUCUGGGUCAUUAUUUAAUACAAAACCACACAUCAUGUUUCUACUGUAUCUUUGUCAAUCACUCUAAUAUUUAUUUCAAAUUUAAUAAAUUCUGUGAAUGACUGUAUGUUCAUUCUUUAUACAAUAGCAACAAAUGUUGUUUGUAAAGUACAGUACUGUACAAAAGUCUUAGGCACAUUAGUAUUUUCAUCCCAAAAAGGGUUUUUAAGCCAGUUAUUUAUAUAUUUUUGCUGUUAGUGUGUCAGUAGGAAAUAUCAGUUUACAUUUCCAAACAUUAAUUUUGCCAUUAAUUUGAAUAAUAUUCUAGUGAGAUUUUUGAAUGCACAAGCAGUCUGACAACAGCCGGUGCUCCACAAGGAGAUCUGAUCUCACCAUCAAAAAAACAAAAAAAAAGGGAAAAUAGAAAAUAAGAAAAACAAGUAUUUGCAUGUUUGUGUAAACACCAGAUACUGAGAAGUUAGAAAUGGUUAAACCAAU
rnacentral:lncRNA from 1 species